AUGAACGCUAGCGACAGGCUUAACACAUGCAAGUCGAGGGGCAGCAUGAUUUGUAGCAAUACAGAUUGAUGGCGACCGGCGCACGGGUGAGUAACGCGUAUGCAACUUACCUAUCAGAGGGGGAUAGCCCGGCGAAAGUCGGAUUAAUACCCCAUAAAACAGGGGUCCCGCAUGGGAAUAUUUGUUAAAGAUUCAUCGCUGAUAGAUAGGCAUGCGUUCCAUUAGGCAGUUGGCGGGGUAACGGCCCACCAAACCGACGAUGGAUAGGGGUUCUGAGAGGAAGGUCCCCCACAUUGGUACUGAGACACGGACCAAACUCCUACGGGAGGCAGCAGUGAGGAAUAUUGGUCAAUGGCCGAGAGGCUGAACCAGCCAAGUCGCGUGAAGGAAGAAGGAUCUAUGGUUUGUAAACUUCUUUUAUAGGGGAAUAAAGUGGAGGACGUGUCCUUUUUUGUAUGUACCCUAUGAAUAAGCAUCGGCUAACUCCGUGCCAGCAGCCGCGGUAAUACGGAGGAUGCGAGCGUUAUCCGGAUUUAUUGGGUUUAAAGGGUGCGUAGGUGGUGAUUUAAGUCAGCGGUGAAAGUUUGUGGCUCAACCAUAAAAUUGCCGUUGAAACUGGGUUACUUGAGUGUGUUUGAGGUAGGCGGAAUGCGUGGUGUAGCGGUGAAAUGCAUAGAUAUCACGCAGAACUCCGAUUGCGAAGGCAGCUUACUAAACCAUAACUGACACUGAAGCACGAAAGCGUGGGGAUCAAACAGGAUUAGAUACCCUGGUAGUCCACGCAGUAAACGAUGAUUACUAGGAGUUUGCGAUACAAUGUAAGCUCUACAGCGAAAGCGUUAAGUAAUCCACCUGGGGAGUACGACCGCAAGGUUGAAACUCAAAGGAAUUGACGGGGACCCGCACAAGCGGUGGAGCAUGUGGUUUAAUUCGAAGCAACGCGAAGAACCUUACCAAAUCUUGACAUCCUUUGACAACUCUAGAGAUAGAGCCUUCCCCUUCGGGGGACAAAGUGACAGGUGGUGCAUGGUUGUCGUCAGCUCGUGCCGUGAGGUGUCGGCUUAAGUGCCAUAACGAGCGCAACCCUUAUCACUAGUUACUAACAGGUGAAGCUGAGGACUCUGGUGAGACUGCCAGCGUAAGCUGUGAGGAAGGUGGGGAUGACGUCAAAUCAGCACGGCCCUUACAUCCGGGGCGACACACGUGUUACAAUGGCAUGGACAAAGGGCAGCUACCUGGUGACAGGAUGCUAAUCUCCAAACCAUGUCUCAGUUCGGAUCGGAGUCUGCAACUCGACUCCGUGAAGCUGGAUUCGCUAGUAAUCGCGCAUCAGCCAUGGCGCGGUGAAUACGUUCCCGGGCCUUGUACACACCGCCCGUCAAGCCAUGGGAGCUGGGGGUACCUGAAGUCCGUAACCGCAAGGAUCGGCCUAGGGUAAAACUGGUGACUGGGGCU
rnacentral:rRNA from 1 species